GAGUUUGAUCGUGGCUCAGAACGAACGCUGGCGGCAUGCCUAACACAUGCAAGUCGAACGGGAUCCUGGUUUCGGCCAGGUGAGAGUGGCGGACGGGUGAGUAACGCGUGGGAACCUGCCCAAUGGUCUGGGAUAACCGCGGGAAACUGCGGCUAAUACCGGAUAAGCCCGAGAGGGGAAAGAUUUAUCGCCGAUGGAGGGGCCCGCGUCCGAUUAGGUAGUUGGUGAGGUAAUGGCUCACCAAGCCGACGAUCGGUAGCUGGUCUGAGAGGAUGAUCAGCCACACUGGGACUGAGAUACGGCCCAGACUCCUACGGGAGGCAGCAGUGGGGAAUAUUGGACAAUGGGGGCAACCCUGAUCCAGCAAUGCCGCGUGAGUGAUGAAGGCCUUAGGGUUGUAAAGCUCUUUUACCAGGGACGAUGAUGACGGUACCUGGAGAAUAAGCCCCGGCUAACUUCGUGCCAGCAGCCGCAGUAAG
rnacentral:rRNA from 1 species